rnacentral:rRNA from 1 species
CGUGUAGGCUGCUCGGAAAGUCGGAUGUGAAAGCCCUGGGCUCAACCUAGGAAGUGCAUUCGAAACUUCCGAGCUGGAGUGCUGGAGAGGAAGGCGGAAUUCUCGGUGUAGAGGUGAAAUUCGUAGAUAUCGAGAGGAACACCGGUGGCGAAGGCGGCCUUCUGGACAGUAACUGACGCUGAGACGCGAAAGCGUGGGGAGCAAACA